UGGGGAAUAUUGCGCAAUGGGCGAAAGCCUGACGCAGCGACGCCGCGUGAGGGAUGAAGGCCUUCGGGUUGUAAACCUCUUUCAGCAGGGACGAAGCGCAAGUGACGGUACCUGCAGAAGAAGCGCCGGCUAACUACGUGCCAGCAGCCGCGGUAACACGUAGGGCGCAAGCGUUGUUCGGAAUUACUGGGCGUAAAGAGUGUGUAGGCGGUGCUCUAAGUUCGGUGUGAAAUCUCCCGGCUUAACUGGGAGGGUGCGCCGGAAACUGGAGUGCUUGAGCGCGGGAGAGGAAAGCGGAAUUCCUGGUGUAGCGGUGAAAUGCGUAGAUAUCAGGAGGAACACCUGUGGUGUAGACGGCUUUCUGGACCGUAGCUGACGCUGAGACACGAAAGCGUGGGUAGCAAACAGGAUUAGAUACCC
rnacentral:rRNA from 1 species